GGGGGUAUAGCUCAGCCGGGAGAGCAGCAGACUGAAGAGGAGUUCUAUGUCUUUCUGAAGGUCCCGCGAUCGAUCCGCGGUACCCCAA